GGGAAUAUUGGGCAAUGGGGGAAACCCUGACCCAGCAACGCCGCGUGAAGGAAGAAGGCUUUCGGGUUGUAAACUUCUUUUACCAGGGACGAAGAGAGUGACGGUACCUGGAGAAAAGCCACGGCUAACUACGUGCCAGCAGCCGCGGUAAUACGUAGGUGGCAAGCGUUGUCCGGAUUUACUGGGUGUAAAGGGCGUGUAGGCGGAGAUUCAAGUCAGGAGUGAAAUCUAUGGGCUUAACCCAUAAACUGCUUUUGAAACUGAAUCCCUUGAGUAUCGGAGAGGCAGGCGGAAUUCCUAGUGUAGCGGU
rnacentral:rRNA from 1 species